UACGUAGGGAGCGAGCGUUGUCCGGAUUUACUGGGUGUAAAGGGUGCGUAGGCGGCUUGGCAAGUCAGUAGUGAAAUCCAUGGGCUUAACCCAUGAACUGCUAUUGAAACUGUCGAGCUUGAGUGAAGUAGAGGUAGGCGGAAUUCCCGGUGUAGCGGUGAAAUGCGUAGAGAUCGGGAGGAACACCAGUGGCGAAGGCGGCCUACUGGGCUUUAACUGACGCUGAGGCACGAAAGCGUGGGGAGCAAACAGG
rnacentral:rRNA from 1 species